rnacentral:rRNA from 1 species
AUGGUUAUAAUAGGAGGAGAUGCGGAUGGCAAUGAAGAAGAUCGUUCUGGAAGUCAGUCGCUUCGCUGGAACUCGAAGCGUCCUGCUAAUCGCCAGCCACGACCUGCACGGAGUGUUCAGCAGGGGGAGGAAGUCGAGGAUGUUGAUCAGUUUCAUGUUGUAAAACGGACUAGACGUGCAGCAGUUGGAAGGGGAGCUGAGUCAUCUAGUAGGGCAGCAGUUGCUGGAGGAGCUGCCGCAUCUUCCGCAGUAGAUGCUAAGGCCAGCGGUGAAGGAGUUGAGGUGGCUGCAGGGGAAGAUGUUGAGCGACCAUCACAAGCGGGCAGGAUAAGUGCAUCACCAGGGCGGUUUGCAAAGUUCAACAGCUCUCUAUCCCCACCGCAGAAGUCUGAGCUAGUUUCGAGGUUGUUCGGGGGCCUAUUGAACUUAUUAGACACCCUUCCAGCGGACCUCACUAAGUUCCUGGUGCAGUCCUACCAGCCAGAGAGCUCUGAAAUGGUUUUCCCAGGCAGGGAAAGGAUCCCUGUUGAUGCUGACAGUGUUCACAGGGUAUUUGAUCUCCCAAACAGGGGUCAAAAGUCAGAUAUGUAG